AAUUAGAAAGCGAAGUUUUGCACUUAGUUUCGGCCUAAGCUUUGACUAGUUAGUCUCUAAUUU
rnacentral:tRNA from 1 species